rnacentral:rRNA from 1 species
GAUGAACGCUGGCGGCGUGCUUAACACAUGCGAGUCGAACGAUGAUCCCCAGCUUGCUGGGGGGAUUAGUGGCGAACGGGUGAGUAACACGUGAGUAACCUGCCCUUGACUCUGGGAUAAGCCUGGGAAACUGGGUCUAAUACCGGAUAUGACUCCUCAUCGCAUGGUGGGGGGUGGAAAGCUUUUGCGGUUUUGGAUGGACUCGCGGCCUAUCAGCUUGUUGGUGAGGUAAUGGCUUACCAAGGCGACGACGGGUAGCCGGCCUGAGAGGGUGACCGGCCACACUGGGACUGAGACACGGCCCAGACUCCUACGGGAGGCAGCAGUGGGGAAUAUUGCACAAUGGGCGCAAGCCUGAUGCAGCGACGCCGCGUGAGGGAUGACGGCCUUCGGGUUGUAAACCUCUUUCAGUAGGGAAGAAGCGAAAGUGACGGUACCUGCAGAAGAAGCGCCGGCUAACUACGUGCCAGCAGCCGCCGUAACAC